UACGAAGGGGGCUAGCGUUGCUCGGAAUCACUGGGCGUAAAGGGUGCGUAGGCGGGGCUUUAAGUCAGAGGUGAAAGCCUGGAGCUCAACUCCAGAACUGCCUUUGAUACUGAGGAUCUCGAGUUCGGGAGAGGUGAGUGGAACUGCGAGUGUAGAGGUGAAAUUCGUAGAUAUUCGCAAGAACACCAGUGGCGAAGGCGGCUCACUGGCCCGAUACUGACGCUGAGGCACGAAAGCGUGGGGAGCAAACAGG
rnacentral:rRNA from 1 species